rnacentral:rRNA from 1 species
UCAAGAAACUUCCACAAUGGGCGAAAGCCUGAUGGAGCGACGUCGCGUGAUGGACGAAGUGCUUCGGCACGUAAACAUCUUUUAUGUGGGAUGAAAUUAUUGACAGUACCACAUGAAUAAGGGGCUCCUAACUCUGUGCCAGCAGGAGCGGUAAUACAGAGGCCCCAAGCGUUAUCCGGAAUCACUGGGCGUAAAGGGUGUCGAGGCGGUUGUAUUAGUCGUUCGUAAAAUCUACGAGCUUAACUUGUAGGCGGCGAACGAAACGGUACGACUUGAGGUUUGGAGAGGUGCGUGGAACUCACGGUGUAGGGGUGAAAUUCGUAGAUAUUAGGAAGAACACCAGUGGCGAAGGCGGCCAACUGGCUCGAUACUGACGCUGAGGUGCGAAAGCGUGGGGAGCAAACAGGAUUAGAUACCCCCGUAGUCCCUGAGCGGGCUGGCAAGGCGCAU